rnacentral:pre_miRNA from 1 species
AUUAUACUUCCUCCAUUCCGAAUUACUUGUCGUAAAAAUGGAUAUAUCUAGAUGUAUUUUAGUUUUAGGUACAUCCACUUCUGCGACGAGUAAUUUGCAACAGAGGAAGUAGAUU